rnacentral:rRNA from 1 species
UGCAAGUCGAGCGGUAACAGAUCUAGCUUGCUGGAUGCUGACGAGCGGCGGACGGGUGAGUAAUGCAUAGGAAUCUGCCCGAUAGUGGGGGAUAACCUGGGGAAACCCAGGCUAAUACCGCAUACGUCCUACGGGAGAAAGGGGGCUCCGGCUCCCGCUAUGGGAUGAGCCUAUGUCGGAUUAGCUAGUUGGUGAGGUAACGGCUCACCAAGGCCACGAUCCGUAGCUGGUCUGAGAGGAUGAUCAGCCACAUCGGGACUGAGACACGGCCCGAACUCCUACGGGAGGCAGCAGUGGGGAAUAUUGGACAAUGGGGGAAACCCUGAUCCAGCCAUGCCGCGUGUGUGAAGAAGGCCCUCGGGUUGUAAAGCACUUUCAGCGAGGAAGAACGCCUAGCGGUUAAUACCCGCUAGGAAAGACAUCACUCGCAGAAGAAGCACCGGCUAACUCCGUGCCAGCAGCCGCGGUAAUACGGAGGGUGCAAGCGUUAAUCGGAAUUACUGGGCGUAAAGCGCGCGUAGGUGGCUUGAUAAGCCGGUUGUGAAAGCCCCGGGCUCAACCUGGGAACGGCAUCCGGAACUGUCAAGCUAGAGUGCAGGAGAGGAAGGUAGAAUUCCCGGUGUAGCGGUGAAAUGCGUAGAGAUCGGGAGGAAUACCAGUGGCGAAGGCGGCCUUCUGGACUGACACUGACACUGAGGUGCGAAAGCGUGGGUAGCAGACAGGAUUAGAUACCCUGGUAGUCCACGCCGUACACGAUGUCGACCAGCCGUUGGGUGCCUAGCGCACUUUGUGGCGAAGUUAAC